GAAUAUUGGUCAAUGGGUGCGAGCCUGAACCAGCCAUGCCGCGUGCAGGAAGACGGCCUUCUGGGUUGUAAACUGCUUUUACCAGGGGUUAAAAUGGUCUUGCGAGACAACUUGAAGGUACCUGGUGAAUAAGCCACGGCUAACUACGUGCCAGCAGCCGCGGUAAUACGUAGGUGGCAAGCGUUGUCCGGAUUUAUUGGGUUUAAAGGGUGCGUAGGCGGCCCUGUAAGUCAGUGCUGAAAUAUCCCGGCUUAACCGGGAGGGUGGCAUUGAUACUGCGGGGCUUGAGUACAGAUGAGGUAGGCGGAAUUGACGGUGUAGCGGUGAAAUGCAUAGAUAUCGUCAAGAACACCGAUAGCGAAGGCAGCUUACUAAGUUGUAACUGACGCUGAUGCACGAAAGUGUGGGGAUCAAACAGG
rnacentral:rRNA from 1 species